rnacentral:rRNA from 1 species
GACGAACGCUGGCGGCGUGCUUAACACAUGCAAGUCGAACGGUGAAAGCGGAGCUUGCUCCGCUGGAUCAGUGGCGAACGGGUGAGUAACACGUGGGCAACCUGCCCCUCACUUCGGGAUAACUCCGGGAAACCGGGGCUAAUACCGGAUAUGACCUCCUUGGGCAUCCUUGGAGGUGGAAAGUUUUUCGGUGAGGGAUGGGCCCGCGGCCUAUCAGCUUGUUGGUGAGGUAGUGGCUCACCAAGGCGACGACGGGUAGCCGGCCUGAGAGGGCGACCGGCCACACUGGGACUGAGACACGGCCCAGGCUCCGACGGGAGGCAGCAGUGGGGAAUAUUGCGCAAUGGGCGAAAGCCUGACGCAGCAACGCCGCGUGCGGGAUGACGGCCUUCGGGUUGUAAACCGCUUUCAGCAGGGAGGAAGCCGCAAGGUGACGGUACCUGCAGAAGAAGCACCGGCUAACUACGUGCCAGCAGCCGCAGUAA